CCCCUUAUGAGUAUUUAUAGGAAGCAGAGCCCAUUUUCUAUUGUCAGGGCAGGGGCACAGGAGCUGAGGUCAACCAGCCGGGUCCACUUGCUCCAGACUGUGCAUGUGGAGCUGAUGACACAGGAGAGCAGAAUCUGGGAGAGCACUUACUGGGCAGUGGGUGACAGCAGUGGCGGGACGCUGCCCAAGAACCAGCAGCACUGUGGCAUCUUCAUUUUACCUGAAGGAAUUUUGCCUGGGAGGCUCCUCUACGCUCUCGAUUGAUAAAUAUUACAGCUCAAGAGGACGUGAGAGUUCAUCACCAGCCUGAAUCAUAUGGAGAAGUAAAAGGGUCUGGAGAGGACAGGUGAAGAGCCAGUGACAGAGCUGGGACCGGAGCCCAGAGGUCUUAUUGCCCAAUCCAGUGCUUUUCCUGAACGCCAUUCUACCGCGACUGUGUGGCGAAGCUGCCAGGACGGAUGGGUCUGGUCUCACUGCAGGAAUCACACAAGCCUCAGGAUACUUUCCUUCAGCCCACUUUCUACAAGAUUGGGAAAAGCAAUCAUCCACAGGGUAUCCCUUCGGUGUCCAGGAAAAAAGUUUUAAGUGAUGAGUUGGAAGGGCAAUGGCAUUUCUUUCCACAGAUUGGUCAGUACAACAAGGUCAGUGAUUGCCUAAAAUUGUGGGCCCAGUCCCACGGGGCAAGCAGAGUAGUGGAACAGGGGAGAAAACUCCUGAGAGAGAGGAAGAAGCACAGCUUUGGAAAAGAUGACAGACUCAAGUCUGAAUCUUGGCUCUGACACUUAUUAGCUUUGGUCUCUGGGCAAGGAAUUAACCUCUUGGAACCCCAAGUUCUUUAUCUGAUUAUUAAAAUAAAACUUCUCAUGAUUAAAAAUUGAUCCACUAUAGAAAUAAUGAAAAUUAAACUAUUCAGUAACCUCAGCCUCUCCUUCAAAGAAACGUUGUUAACCUUUUGUUACAUCUCCUCUGGACUCUUUUCCAAAGACAUUCUCUAACUUAAAAAAAUUUUUCUUUGCAAUAUGGGUGGACCUAGAGAUUAUCAUACUAAGUGAAGUAAGCCAGACAGAGAAAGACAAAUAUCAUAUGAUAUCGCUUAUAUGUGGAAUCUUUAAAAAAAAAAAAAAAGGAUACAAA